UCCGGUGGUAAUACUGGAGGGGCAACACCCGUUCCCAUUCCGAACACGGCAGUUAAGCCCUCCAAGGCCUAUGGUACUUUACUGGUGACGGUAUGGGAGAGUAGGUAACUGCCGGAU
rnacentral:rRNA from 1 species